GACGAACGCUGGCGGCGUGCCUAAUACAUGCAAGUAGAACGCUGAAGAGAGGAGCUUGCUCUUCUUGGAUGAGUUGCGAACGGGUGAGUAACGCGUAGGUAACCUGCCUGGUAGCGGGGGAUAACUAUUGGAAACGAUAGCUAAUACCGCAUGAUAUUAAUUGUCGCAUGAUAAUUAAUUGAAAGAUGCAAUUGCAUCACUACCAGAUGGACCUGCGUUGUAUUAGCUAGUUGGUGAGGUAACGGCUCACCAAGGCGACGAUACAUAGCCGACCUGAGAGGGUGAUCGGCCACACUGGGACUGAGACACGGCCCAGACUCCUACGGGAGGCAGCAGUAGGGAAUCUUCGGCAAUGGGGGGAACCCUGACCGAGCAACGCCGCGUGAGUGAAGAAGGUUUUCGGAUCGUAAAGCUCUGUUGUAAGAGAAGAACAGGGUGUGAGAGUGG
rnacentral:rRNA from 1 species